GGCCAAAGGAAGAACAAAGGAAGGAAAAGGAACAACCAAACCCUAGGUGGAGAAUUUCAAGAGAAAAGUGUGGAAAAAUCAAGGAAAACAAGUGAAAAAGGUAGGAUUUCUCAAUUUAAACUUGAAAUCUAUCUUCCUUAAGCAUUUCUCCUAAUUUUCCAUGGUUAAAUUACAUGUUUUAAUGGUGAAUUCAUGGUUAGACGAAUGGGUAUGGAGAGAGAAUGAUGUUGGAUUGAUUUGAUUUCAAGUUAUGUUAGUGUUUUUAGUUAGUUUACCAUGUCUAAAAGCAAAACAACAGGAAAAGAAUUCAUUUUCCCCAUCACCCACCAAUGGCCGAACCUACCUUGUAUUGAGUGAGGAUGAAUUUGAUUUUUAUUUUAAGAGAAUUGGUUAGAAAAUGAUGAAUUAUGGUGUGGAAAAGUAGUAGGAAAAAUCACGGUGUUGAUGCACCAUUAUUGACCGAAAAUUCUAAAAAGAAAAGUGAAGAUGGAUUUGCCAAAUUUUAGGUUAUUUGACUUGUGUUUGGUGAAUUAAGAAUUGGAAGAAAAGUGGAGUUAAUAUGAGUUAAAUUGGACGUAUUGGCCAAUUAAUCGAGUGAUAGAUCGAAUUAGGCCAAUACCUAUUUAUUUAGGUACACAAGUGAAUUUAUAUUGAACACCGUAUUUAGAUAGUUACCUGAGUAUUUCACAUCCCAUUUCAUGCAUUAGUAUAGAGCCUGAAUUGAUUUUAUAACAAUUUAGCACAAAUGUAGUAAAUGGCUUAAUGUGCAUUAUGUCUAGGUGGUGAGCAUUUUGGCAACAAUAAAGAGAUAGUACCCGAGGAUCAGGAAUCGGUGUACUUGAAAUUCGACUCCCGAAUCAGUGAGUAACCUUACUAUCGUCUUAAUUAUCUAAAGUGGUUUUUAUCCAAUUUUGUGAUUUUUGGAAAAUGAGUUUAAAUGGUAAAUCUUUAUGUUUUAUAAAUAAAAUGUGUUUAAAUGAAAUGAUUUUAUAAAUUAUCGUGAAAUUAAAUGAUGGCUUUAAAAAUAGAGUAAUUGGAGACCACUUGAUGUGUUGUAAAUUUAUGGUUCUAAUUGAUUGGCUUAUGGCAAUAUUGGCAUGAAUGGUUGACUUGAUAAAUGUGCUAAAAAUGUAUGAACUGUUGAUUUGCCUUGAGAGGCUGUAAAAUAAAAUAAUUGCCAUGUCAUGCUAUAUCAAAUUUUAUUGUAUGGUGGGUUAAGCUUGCUGCAGUGGGCAGGGUUCUGUGGACUAGCCUAUUAGAGGGGCACAAAAUCCUGAUAUAUUUUACCUCGGUUGGAGAGGCAAGUAAGGUAACUCCUAAGGUAUAACUUUUAGAGUUCACUUCACCUCAAACCACCACGUGAGGGUGAACUCAGCCAACGCCAAGGAACGACUAUAUUUUCAAAAUAAAAACAUGAUUUAUGAGUACAUAACUUUUUAAUAGCCUUGGCGGACUCAGUUUGGGAUAACCCGAGGCCAAAGUAUCCCUGAUAACUAAGUAUGAGAAUGAUUUUGGCACGAGCCAAAUCUUUUAAGAAAUUCAUAAGCCAUAUUAAUUACUCGAUUUAUAUGAAUUGAUUUUAUUUGGUUGAAACUUGUUCAAAGGUGAUGAAUUACAGUAUAUUAAACUAUUAUCUGUCUCCAUUCACUCAGCUUUAGAUAUUUUAGAUGGUAUUUGUUUACUCACUGGGAUUAUAUAAUCUCACCACCCUCCUUUCCACCCAUUUCAGGCUCAAAAUAGAUUGUAGAUAACUGAUAUCGUCGAGGACUACAGUUGGACUUGCCACAUUCAAAAAUUGUAGGUUCAUUUCUUUUGAUACUUUUAGUCAUUCGUGGGCCCAUGUGUCACUGUAAAUUAAAUUUUAUACUUUGGUUAUCUAUAUUACAGUAUGUAUGAAUUUAUUUAGCUUUUACGCUACAAAAAUUAUUUAUCGGUAACUCUAUAAAUAUUGUUUUAUAAGAAAAUAGAAUAUUUUAUUGAAUAUUUUUGUUAUAUUCAAAUAGAUAUAGUUUUGUUUUAAAUGAAUGUUUUAGACAUCUAAAUUUAUUUUUGAUUAUGAAAUAUGUGUUUUCCACUCGUAUACUACAUUUUUAACUGGUUUCGAGAUUUGUGAGGAAAAAUGACCAAAAUGCCCCUAUGAGACAAAAAAUUUAUUUUUCUAUUGUUUUGAUUUGGAAAUAGUUUAUAACCUCUCAAAACAUGAUAUAUUGCAAUUGUUGAUCACAAGGGAGGUGAGAAAACUGAUAUUAAAGCCUUGCGAGGUCCCGAUCGGCAUUUCGGGCGAUGAAUGUCUAUCGGGACAUCGCGACGGUUGUCACGGGCUCGAGAAGAGUACCGGGUCGUGAGAGCAUUUAUAGUCACUCAUGCCUUCGAAAGCCUCAUUACUCACUUUAAAUGGUUUUAUAAUCUUAUAAAUCAUUUUAGAUUGAAUUGUUUUUCAUUUAUGGUUAAAACACAUCAUAAUUUGCUAUUUGCAUUGGAAAACAUAAAGCGAAAACCAUCCAUUGACGACAAAAGUCCAUUUAUAGUCACUCAUGCCUUCAGAAGCCUAGUUACUCACUUGAAAUGGAUUUAUAAUCUUAUAAAUGAUUUUAGAUUGAAUUUUUUCAUUUUUUGUUAAAGUAGAUUAUAUUGGAUGUAUGCAUUGGGAAACGUGAAGCAAAAUCCAUUCAUUGACAAUAAAAGUUCAUUUAUAGUAAUGAG
rnacentral:lncRNA from 1 species